GAUGAACGCUGGCGGCGUGCCUAAUACAUGCAAGUCGAGCGAACAGACGAGGAGCUUGCUCCUUUGACGUUAGCGGCGGACGGGUGAGUAACACGUGGAUAACCUACCUAUAAGACUGGGAUAACUUCGGGAAACCGGAGCUAAUACCGGAUAACAUGUUGAACCGCAUGGUUCAACAGUGAAAGACGGUUUUGCUGUCACUUAUAGAUGGAUCCGCGCGGCAUUAGCUAGUUGGUAAGGUAACGGCUUACCAAGGCAACGAUGCGUAGCCGACCUGAGAGGGUGAUCGGCCACACUGGGGCUGAGACACGGUCCAGACGCCUACGGGAGGCAGCCGUAGGGAAUCGUCCGCAAUGGGCGAAAGCCUGACGGAGCAACGCCGCGUGAGUGAAGAAGGUCUUCGGAUCGUAAAACUCUGUUAUUAGGGAAGAACAAAUGUGUAAGUAACUAUGCACGUCUUGACGGUACCUAAUCAGAAAGCCACGGCUAACUACGUG
rnacentral:rRNA from 1 species